rnacentral:rRNA from 1 species
UACGAAGGGGGCUAGCGUUGCUCGGAAUUACUGGGCGUAAAGGGCGCGUAGGCGGAUAUUUAAGUCGGGGGUGAAAGCCCAGGGCUCAGCCCUGGAAUUGCCUUCGAUACUGGAUAUCUUGAGUUCGGGAGAGGUGAGUGGAAUGCCGAGUGUAGAGGUGAAAUUCGUAGAUAUUCGGCGGAACACCAGUGGCGAAGGCGACUCACUGGCCCGAUACUGACGCUGAGGCGCGAAAGCGUGGGGAGCAAACAGG